AUACAAGAUGAUAGUCCAGUAGUGAACACGCGGACGAACAUUUGGACGGUCGUUAUUUUACAGUUGUGCUUUCCAGAUGGAUAAUUGCCGGACUAACAAGACGAAUAUUGGACAAAACUACAUUUUAAAAAGAAUGUUGCUAAUGCAUAAUUCCUUCAGGUGGCCAUCCCGAGAGAAUGGAAAGAUGCUGGAAACAAGCGUUCAGAAAGAUGGCGAUUUCCUAACGUGCUAAACGUGUUUAGGUACCGUGUAAAACUGAAUUUUCACUUUUUAAAUAAUUUAUUAUUUAACGCAUUUCCAAAUGAAUUAUUGGUUAUGAUUAAAAAAAACAACAAACAACAUUUCUACAACGAAUUAAAAAAAAUAAAUAAUUUAAUAAUUUAAAAAUCCUAACUAAACACUAUUUUAUCCUAUCUAUCCUAGCAUGAGUUUUUGUAUGGCGCCAUUACAAAAACUUAAUAUUUCUUUUAUUAUACUAACUGCAUGCAAAAUUAAUUAUUCUAACUGCAUGCUACUGACAAAAAGAAAAAUUGUAUUUAUCUUUUGACUAAUGCAUUUCGGUGUUUUUUUUUUUACUUUUUUCGAGCGAUCUAAUUGCUAAGUGCUAACGAGUCUUUUCGGCACUCAAUAUGUGCUGGCGACGGACGGUUGCGAUCCCAUGACGAUGAUGGUCGCUGGCACUCACUCUCACUUUGACGGGAUUGGCUACUUUGGUGAGAUCCAUCGGCGUCCCGAUGCAAUCUCAGCGCCUGAUUCUCUCUUGCGUAAACCUGGUAUACGAUGACAUCUUCACGCCAAACAACACGUGCGCGAUCUGCUAACGAAUCAAAACGUUGCUGUUUCUGGAUCUUCUUCUGCCGGGCGGAGGUCUGCGGCCGAAAAUACACCGAGACUUUUGCCUGCCUCAUCUGCAAGCUCAUACGAGCUACUGCCGCGUUUCGCUAUCACGGUGCAUGGCGUAUACAGCGGACCAUAUUUCGCAUUAUAGCGAUCUGCUGCCGAAGACAAUUGAAAACUCCGCUUGUAGACUUUCUGCCCUACCUGAUUCACCACUAGCAUAUCUUACUCCGCGGAUGGCCAGUUCAUAUUCCAGCUCGUCGUCUAGAAGAUGUUUGACGUUCAGGGAACGAUACGGUAAAGAAUACUCGGAAUUCAUGAUAGGACAGUUUCAAACGGUUUAAAAAAAUAAAUAUUUUAGGGAACUACGACAAGCAAAUUAAAAUUUAUUAUAAGAAACGCGACAAAAUAAAUAAAUAAAUAACGAAAGAAAUAAAUUAACACGUAUUUAGAUAUUUAGAAGCACAAUUAGAUAAUAAUUCAGGUAUUUUGGUUUCUGUGGCAAUAAAUAUGAUGAUUGAAAUAAAUAAACGAUCAGGA